ensembl:lncRNA
GUUUGCUGUUCGGGAUCAGGGAUUAUUUACCAACGAUAGAGAAAGAGAUCUGGUUUGGCACAUGGUCUCACACAGACGCUGCGUUUAUACAGGUCCGCUUACAGGAAACAACGGGUGUCAACCAAGCAGACCACAACACGGAAAGCUUUCAUCAAACUGUAAACACACAGCAUAAAAUAUACUUCAGCGAGGAGCAACAGCUACAACUACUAAUUACAGGAGAAUGCUGCAGGGGGGGCCCGAAAGCCUCGAUGACUCCGACUUCACUAAUGAGAACUUCUACUCUGUGAGCGCGUGUGUGCGUUUGUGUCUGUGAGUAACAUGC